GCUUCUGUCGUCCAAUGGUAGGACUACUGACCUGUAAUCAGUGUAUCCUGGUUCAAAUCCGGGUAGAAGCU
rnacentral:tRNA from 2 species